rnacentral:rRNA from 1 species
GACGAACGUUGGCGGCGUGCUUAAUACAUGCAAGUCAACUGAAGCAGUGGUAGCAAUAUCGCUGUGGAGGUGGCGCACGGGUGAGUAACACGUAGGUAAUCUGCCUUCAGGUCUGGCAUAACUCCGGGAAACCGGGGCUAAUAGCAGAUGAUGCAGCGGCUCGACAUCGAGACAGUUGUUAAAGCUAUGGCGCCUGAAGAUGAGCCUGCGUCUGAUUAGCUAGUUGGCGGGGUAACGGCCCACCAAGGCAACGAUCAGUAGCUGGUCUGAGAGGAUGAUCAGCCACACUGGGACUGAGACACGGUCCAGACUCCUACGGGAGGCAGCAGUAAGGAAUAUUGCUCAAUGGGAGAAAUCCUGAAGCAGCAACGCCGCGUGAGGGACGAAGGGCUUUGGCUUGUAAACCUCUGUAGUGAGAGAAAAAAAUCCCAAUCUUUGGGACAUGAUGGUAUCUCAAAAGUAAGCCCCGGCUAACUACGUG